GGGACUGUAGCUCAGUGGUAGAGCACUUGCCCAGCAUGUGUGAGGCACUGAGUUCGAUUCUCAAUAAGACUCC
rnacentral:tRNA from 1 species